rnacentral:lncRNA from 1 species
UUUUACAAAGAGUUUGAUUUUAUUGAUAUUUAAAUAUAUUAAAUAUUUCACUGAAAUACAUGGUAUACCACCCUCCCCCACCCCCACAGUGGUUACAUUAUAAAACCAAAGUCCAUGGGCCUCCCAUCCACUGACUCCCCCACCAACUGGUGAGAAAGGGGGCAAUGGUAGCCCAGGAAAAGGGCAUGGCUGGCACUGUGGUAUGGGGAGUCAGGGUGUUGGACAGGUCCCUCCCACUUGACAAGAAGCAAAGACAAAUCACCCAAGACUGAGGUCUUCCCACUCUGGUCUCCUUACACCCCUAUCCCCACCCCAGGGCUCCAAGCAGUCCCUUUCCCAUCCAGGGAUAUGUCUGGGGAGAGGGAGUUGAUCUUCUCUCUGGACCAACUAGUCUUUUCCCCUCCUCCUGCCAUAGCUAAUGAAGUGCCUGAUGACCCACUCGACUGAUGCAUCAAGAUCCCCCAAGGCAGGCAGUGCAAGCCAGAAACCAGGCCUCUGCAAGGAGCUCGAGUCAGAAAAGGCAUGAGGAAGGGCAAGGGUGCCACCCACCCCUUUCAUUCUUCAAACUUAGCAACUCUGGAACCCUCUUCUCUGUCUCUCUAAUCAUCUUUAACACAAAAUGAUCUUCAAGCAAAAUUCAGGCUAAUGCCUCUGGCUUAAAUAGGUACAGACAGACAGAGAAACCAAGGCACCAACUAAGUUAGGUGGCAAGGAGGUUGCAGGGAAAGGAGUAAAAGGAAGGCAGAGAUAGGAAGGGAAUCUAGAGUCCAACCUCCUGACCCUCCUUCCAGCCCUUGAAGGCUUCAUGGAGACUGGGGAGCCAGGAACAUGCUAGACUGAGACUGAAGGCUGGGGAAAGCCAAGUUUCAGGUUCCCUUGCCCCAUCCCCUAGUACCAGUAUCUGGGUCCUCAGAGGGAUCCCAUGCUACCCCAGUCCCAAAGUAUACCACCAUAUGGGGAACCCAGGAAAGUCCUGAGGCUCUGCCCGCCAAACCCAGACAGUUCAAGUGCAUGGAGCACUGAGGCUCAAGCAGGCGCUUAGGUCCCUGCCCCAGGCAGGGAGACAGUCAUGCUGCACACACGGCCCCCAAAUGGCACUUAGGGAUUUGGC